rnacentral:rRNA from 1 species
UGGGGAAUAUUGCACAAUGGGCGCAAGCCUGAUGCAGCCAUGCCGCGUGUGUGAAGAAGGCCUUCGGGUUGUAAAGCACUUUCAGCGAGGAGGAAGGUGGUGAGCUUAAUACGCUCAUCAAUUGACGUUACUCGCAGAAGAAGCACCGGCUAACUCCGUGCCAGCAGCCGCGGUAAUACGGAGGGUGCAAGCGUUAAUCGGAAUUACUGGGCGUAAAGCGCACGCAGGCGGUUUGUUAAGCCAGAUGUGAAAUCCCCGGGCUCAACCUGGGAACUGCAUUUGAAACUGGCAAGCUAGAGUCUCGUAGAGGGGGGUAGAAUUCCAGGUGUAGCGGUGAAAUGCGUAGAGAUCUGGAGGAAUACCGGUGGCGAAGGCGGCCCCCUGGACGAAGACUGACGCUCAGGUGCGAAAGCGUGGGGCAGCAAACAGGAUUAGAUACCCUGGUAGUCCACGCUGUAAACGAUGUCGAUUUUGGAGGUUGUGCCCUUGAGGCGUGGCUUCCGGAGCUAACGCGUUAAAGUCGACCGCCUGGGGAGUACGGCCGCAAGGUUAAAACUCAAAGGAAUUGACGGGGUC